UUGAGUAUUUUCUUUCAUAUGUUUUUGUGAAGAGAGGUGGGAUGGCAGGGUACUAGUAUUGCUUCAAGCCCAUAGUGUUUUUAAUUAUGGACAAUGCAGAUCAUGACUUUCCUACAUUUGGAGAGGGAUAAAUAGAUCAUGUGGUGCAGGUGAACUGAACAAGGCGUGCCAUACUGGUCAGUUAGUUGGUAGUUCAAAAAUCUGCCUGAUUUGUUUCCUCAAAGUUGUAUGUUUCUUGGCCACUAUAUGUAUUCAUGUAGUUGAUGAAUCAUAUGGGACACUCAUCAAAGUUUUAGCUACAAAUCAUCCAGCUGAAGCAAGCAAUUCUGAAGUUAUAAAUUUUGACCCUUUGUGA